UUUGAGUGAGAGUAAGGAUUUGCUUUCAUCAAUUGCACCAAGAAUCUUGGCUAACUUAUCAACUAUCCGUUGUGGCGUUUGUCGGAUUCUCAUCUAAAUCCUUCAAUCAUUGGUGUUUCAGCUUCUCUAAGUGUGGGGUGCCAUAGGAGGUGGGUUUAUCAAAUCUUUGAAUUCUAUAUCUACUUGUGCGUGUGGGUUUGAGGCUUGUGCCAUAGGGUUCCGCGUCAGUUGAGUGAGGAUUUGCUUUCAUCAAUUGCACCAGGAAUCUCGAUUAACUUAUCAACUAUUUAUUGUGGCGUUUGUCAGAUUCUCAUCUAAAUCCUUCAAUCAUUGGUGUUUCAGCUUCUCUAAGUUUGGGGUGCCAUAGGAGUUAACUUAUCAAGAAUUUCUUGUGGCGUUCUCGAAGCUGGAAUCGCUUGAUUAUCUAUGUUUCUAAUCACAUGGUUGGUUAGGGGUGUGGUAGAGCAACCUUCGCUUGAUUAUCCAUGUUUCUAAUCACAUUCGUUGGUUAGGGGUGUGGUAGAGCAACCUUCUGGAAGAUAUCUUUGUCUUGUUCUUUAUCAAGUUGUGUGACGGGGUUUUUGAUCACAAGUUGGUCCUGGGUUCCGCAUCAG
rnacentral:lncRNA from 1 species